rnacentral:rRNA from 1 species
AUGGUUGAACAUUAUGGUGCAUUGGUUGAUCUCCUCGGCCGGGCUGGACAUUUGGAUCAGGCUAGGCAUGCCAUAGAGACAAUGCCCAUGGAACCAACUCCAGAAUUAUGGGGAUCUCUGCUUGCUGUCUACCAAAGUCAUAGGUUCGUUGAAUUGGCUAAGCUGUCGGUUGAACGCCUAGCAAGUCUUGGAGUUGAUGAUUCUGGAGUCUAUGUUCAUCUGUCUAAUAUCCAUGCUGAUGGAGGAAUGUGGGAUGGUGUCUUGAGGAUUAGGAGAUUGAUGAGUGCUGAAGGGAUGAAGAAGGACAUUGGAAGGAGUGUGAUUGAGGCGGAUGGACAAAUACACGAGUUUGUGAAUGGAAGCAGUUCACAUCCUGAUAAGGAUGAAAUUUACAUGAUGCUAUGGAAUUUAUCUAACAUGGUAGCAUCUUCUUGA